rnacentral:rRNA from 1 species
AUUGAACGCUGGCGGCAGGCCUAACACAUGCAAGUCGAACGAGCGGCGGACGGGUGAGUAAUGUCUGGGAAACUGCCUGAUGGAGGGGGAUAACUACUGGAAACGGUAGCUAAUACCGCAUACCAUCAGAUGUGCCCCGAUGGGAUUAGCUAGUAGGUGGGGUAAUGGCUCACCUAGGCGACGAUCCCUAGCUGGUCUGAGAGGAUGACAAGCCACACUGGAACGGAGACACGUCCCAGAGUCCUACGGGAGGCAGCAGUGGGGAAUAUUGCACAAUGGGCGCAAGCCUGAUGCAGCCAUGCCGCGUGUGUGAAGAAGGCCUUCGGGUUGUAAAGCACUUUCAGCGGGGAGGCGUUACUCGCAGAAGAAGCACCGGCUAACUCCGUGCCAGCAGCCGCGGUAAUAC